GCGUGUGUGAAGAAGGCCUUAGGGUUGUAAAGCGCUUUCACUGGUGAAGAUGAUGACGGUAGCCAGAGAAGAAGCCCCGGCUAACUCCGUGCCAGCAGCCGCGGUAAUACGGAGGGGGCAAGCGUUGUUCGGAAUUACUGGGCGUAAAGGGCGCGUAGGCGGAACGUCAAGUUAGGGGUGAAAGGCCCGGGCUCAACCUGGGAACGGCCUCUAAAACUGACGAUCUGGAGUCCGGAAGAGGAUGGCGGAAUUCCCAGUGUAGAGGUGAAAUUCGU
rnacentral:rRNA from 1 species